UGGAUCGGCCCGCGUAAGAUUAGAUAGUUGGUGGGGUAAUGGCCUACCAAGCCUACGAUCUAUAGCUGGUUUUAGAGGAUGAUCAGCAACACUGGGACUGAGACACGGCCCAGACUCCUACGGGAGGCAGCAGUGGGGAAUCUUAGACAAUGGGCGCAAGCCUGAUCUAGCGAUGCCGCGUGAGUGAUGAAGGCCUUAGGGUCGUAAAGCUCUUUCGCCUGUGAAGAUAAUGACGGUAGCAGGUAAAGAAACCCCGGCUAACUCCGUGCCAGCAGCCGCGGUAAUACGGAGGGUG
rnacentral:rRNA from 1 species